rnacentral:rRNA from 1 species
AACGAACGCUGGCGGCAUGCCUAACACAUGCAAGUCGAACGAGACCUUCGGGUCUAGUGGCGCACGGCUGCGUAACGCGUGGGAACCUUCCCUUAGGUUCGGAAUAACUCUCCGAAAGGGGUGCCAAUACCGGAUAAUGUCUUCGGACCAAAGAUUUAUCGCCUUUGGAUGGGCCCGCGUUGGAUUAGCUAGUUGGUAGGGUAAAAGCCUCCCAAGGCGACGAUCCAUAGCUGGUCUGAGAGGAUGAUCAGCCACACUGGGACUGAGACACGGCCCAGACUCCUACGCGAGGCAGCAGUGGGGAAUAUUGGACAAUGGGCGAAGGGCUGAACCAGCACUGCCGCGUAAGUGAUGAAGGCCUUAGGGUUGUAAAGCUCUUUUAACCGGGAUGAUAAUGACAGUACCGAGAGAAUAAGCUCCGGCUAACUCCGUG